rnacentral:rRNA from 1 species
UUGACCUCAAAUCGGGUGAGACUACCCGCUGAACUUAAGCAUAUCAAUAAGCGGAGGAAAAGAAACUAACAAGGAUUCCCCUAGUAACUGCGAGUGAAGCGGGAAAAGCUCAAAUUUAAAAUCUGGUGGCCUUUGGUCAUCCGAGUUGUAAUUUAGAGAAGCGUCUUCCGCGCUGGRCCGNGCACAAGUCUCCUGGAAUGGAGCGUCAUAGAGGGUGAGAAUCCCGUCUUUGGCACGGAUCCCGGUGCUUCUGUGAUGCGCUCUCGAAGAGUCGAGUUGUUUGGGAAUGCAGCUCAAAAUGGGUGGUGAACUCCAUCUAAAGCUAAAUAUUGGCGAGAGACCGAUAGCGAACAAGUACCGUGAGGGAAAGAUGAAAAGCACUUUGGAAAGAGAGUGAAACAGUACGUGAAAUUGUUGAAAGGGAAACGCUUGAAGUCAGUCGCGUCGUCCGAGACUCAGCCUCGCCUCGGCYUGGUGUACUUCUCGACCGACGGGUCAGCAUCAAUUUCACCCCUUGGAUAAUGGCGAGGGAAAUGUGGCACCUUUGCGGGUGCGUUAUAGUCCCUCGUCGCAUGCAAGGGUCGGGAUUGAGGAACUCAGCA